CUCCGUCUCCUGCCCUGAGGAGCGACAGCCGGCAGGCCGGGCUUCUUUGCAUAACAAAAGGCGGCCAUCAAGCCGGCGCCUGGGAAUGCCCUCGUCGCCAGCCCUCCCCAGCUCGAAAGCAGCCUAUUUGCCUUCCUUUUGCCUUCCUCUUCUGUGUCCAUCAACGCCAUGCAUUCAUUUGCAAAUAGGAGCGGGGGGAGAAAAGAAAUUCGAGUCUGGUUACUCGGAAGUCCUUGAUGAAAAGAAGCAUUAAAUCAUAUUGGGAUGCUUUGAAACUGACUGUUAAGCAAGUCGAGGAAACCGUCGCUUCAAACAGGCAAACUCAUGAAUGGCUUCAGCAACUGAGUAUUUUGUCUGUCCAGAUACACAAGCCUCAAUUU